AUACGGAGGGUGCAAGCGUUACUCGGAAUCACUGGGCGUAAAGCGCGCGCAGGCGGCUAUUUAAGUUGGAUGUGAAAGCCUACGGCUCAACCGUAGAACUGCAUCCAAAACUAUUUAGCUAGAGUGUGGGAGAGGAAGAUGGAAUUAGUUGUGUAGGGGUAAAAUCCGUAGAGAUAACUAGGAAUACCAAAAGCGAAGGCAAUCCUCUGGAACACUACUGACGCUGAGGCGCGAAAGCGUGGGGAGCAAACGGGAUUAGAAACCCUAGUAGUCC
rnacentral:rRNA from 1 species